UGGGGGAUAUUGCACAAUGGGGGAAACCCGUGAUGCAGCGACGCCGCGUGAGUGAAGAAGUAUUUCGGUAUGUAAAGCUCUAUCGGCAGGGAAGAAAAAAAUGACAGUACCUGACUAAGAAGCCCCGGCUAACUACGUGCC
rnacentral:rRNA from 1 species